rnacentral:misc_RNA from 1 species
AAGUCGUAACAAGGUUUCCGUAGGUGAACCUGCGGAAGGAUCAUUACCAAAUCCAAAAUACCCAAACCCCAUGUGAACUAUUGUAUAGUCUGUCUUUGGGAGAAAGUUGUUUAAAACGCCUCUUUCUCCCAAAAGAGUCCGGCAUAUCCGUAUGGAUGUGUCCAGAUUCUUUGAAAAAAUCCCUUAUUUUAAACCACUUGAUUUUUUUGUUGGAAUUUUUCUUUUUAUUAAUUUAAAAAUAAAAGACAACUUUUAACGGCGGAUCUCUUGGCUCGUG